AAAUGGGCUUCAGAGUCUGAUGGAUCUGGGUGACUGGGCAAGUUCUUUAGCUUGUCAAACCUUCAUUUCUCUAAUUUAUAACAUAAGGACAGUACCUUCUUCCUGUCAAGGUUGAGGCAAGCAUUAGUGAGAAACGUCUCAAGGCCUGGUUCACAUUAAAGGUCAAAAAAGAGAGAAAACAUCACUGUUCUCUUCAGCAGAACUUUUGUCAGUGUGAUCGAGAAUUGUCUCAAGUGACAAGUGAGCUGACCAGGGAACCCUGGGUGGCAGGUACUAUUGGCACCAUUUUCCAGAUAAAGAAAAUGAAGUUCUAAGCAGUCAAAUGACAUGUCAAGAUCACCCAACUGGAAAAGGUGCUUUUACAUGAAAGAUGGUGAUUAGCUGAUCUUUUACCAGAAGGAGAA
rnacentral:lncRNA from 10 species